GACGUAGGGUGCGAGCGUUGUCCGGAUUUAUUGGGCGUAAAGAGCGCGCAGGCGGUCGUUCAAGUCGCGUGUGAAAGCCCCCGGCUCAACUGGGGAGGGUCACGCGAUACUGAUCGACUCGAAGGCAGGAGAGGGUAGUGGAAUUCCCGGUGUAGUGGUGAAAUGCGUAGAUAUCGGGAGGAACACCAGUGGCGAAGGCGGUUACCUGGAGCUUUGCUGACGCUGAUGCGCGAAAGCGUGGGGAGCGAUCCGG
rnacentral:rRNA from 1 species